ACCGACUCAAUUUUAAUUUGUUAAGCAAUGAAUGAAGGAAAGGGCCUCCUUCUGCAGUUUGUGUAAUUGCAAUAUUUACUACAAAUUUCCUAUUCCUGCAUACUUCUUGGGAUUUUUCCAAACCAUUAAUACUUUUCUUGGCCUCAAUUUACACUCUUCUUCUACUCAAUUCAAUUCAUUUACACCUCUUCUCUCUCUCUUCUUUCUCUCUCUACACCUUACACCAUCUCAAUUAAAUUAACCUUUAAUUCACUUCCCUUCAUUUCCCUUGUAUAAAUCCCCCUUCAACCCUCCCUCCAUUCUCACAAUCACAACAACUCUGUUAUUCACUCCUCUGUUCUUUCUUCCAACCCUUUUUCCCUUCUAUUACCAAAAAACUCUUAAAACAGAGGAAAAACAGAGCAAAACAGAGGAAAACAGAGGAGGAAGAUGAGUCGAAGAAACGGAAGUGGACCAAAGCUUGAUUUGAAGCUGAACCUAUCACCACCAAGAGUUAACAGAAGAAUGGAAUCAUCACCAACACGAUCAGCAUCGGUAUCGCCUCCGAGUUCAUGUGUUUCGUCGGAGAAUGGAUCAAACAGCCCUGAAGCAAUAUCCAUGCUUUUAGUUGGUUGUCCUCGUUGUCUUAUGUAUGUGAUGCUCUCUGAGAAUGAUCCAAAAUGUCCCAAAUGUCACAGCACUGUUUUGCUUGAUUUUCUCAACACUGAGAACAACAACAAUAACAAGAAGUGUUAAAAACAGAGUACUCUGUUUCAAAGCUCUGUUUUUCUCACAACUAGGAAUAUGAAUAUUAUUAUUAGUAGUAGUAUUAGUAAUUUAGUAUCAGUAGUAACUUUUAAUUUAAUCCUAGGAAUAUGUUCUAUUAUUUAAAUUUUUCUAUUUUAAUUUUCUAUGAGUAGUGCUACAAACGCUCCAUUUUUACCAUCUUUCAUUGAGGUGAAAAAUUUCAAACAAUUUUGUCAAAGAAAAAGAGAAAGAAACGAGAAGUGGAGCGUAAGUAGCACUAUUCUUAUCAUCAAUAUAUGGUAAAAUAUGAAGAAAAAAAAUGUUAUUGGGAAAUUCAGGAAUGUUAGGGGUUUCAGACUUUCAGUGUAGUAGGGGAUAACCUAAUGUACCCUUUUAGUUUUCUUGUUGAAAUUUAAGGUCAAAAUCAAAUCUUUUAGUUUAUCUUCA